UUAGGAAUAUUGGGCAAUGGAGGGAACUCUGACCCAGCAACGCCGCGUGAAGGAAGAAGGUUUUCGGAUUGUAAACUUCUGUAUUAGAGGAAAAAGAAAGUGAUGGUACUCUAAUAGAAAGCUACGGCAAACUACGUGCCAGCAGCCGCGGUAAGACGUAGGUAGCAAGCGUUGUCCGGAAUAACUGGGCGUAAAGGGAGCGUAGGCGGAUAAUUAAGUCUAAUGUGAAAUCCCACAGCUUAACUGUGGAACUGCAUUAGAUACUGGAUAUCUGGAGUGCGGAAGAGGUGAACGGAAUUACUAGUGUAGCGGUUAAAUGCGUAGAGAUUAGUAGGAAUACCGGAGGCGAAGGCGGUUCACUGGGACGUAACUGACGCUGAGGCUCGAAAGCGUGGGGAGCAAACAGG
rnacentral:rRNA from 1 species